GGAUUGAGUUUUUUGGUUUGAUUUCCUAAAAUGUAUCUUUGACACUGACUCUUUUGCAGCCUUUCAAGAGGGAGAUGUUCGGCAGUGUUUUGGAACCUGGUAUGAAUCUAUACGUUGUCUGCUUGCCACAAUGUUUGAUGCUUCUUCGAGUUCUAAUUCUUAUUCCUAAUUAUUAAAUGACUGUUCCUGAUAAUGAAGUGGGAAUAAGAAUUAUAAUAAAAUAAUCCCAACAAAAGGCCAUCUUUAACUUAUGAUUUCUGAUUAUAUCAGCCUCCAAUUACCAAUAAAAUAUUCUGGCAGACUAUUGAGACAUGAAUUGCAGAGCUGUAAUCAAGAGACUCACUUGAUUCAAGAAAAUUCAGAAUUUAGAGCAGCCUGUUCUCCAAAAAGGUCAUUUUGUGAUCCAAGAAUUCAGCAGAAAUGCCAAUCAUCAAAAAGAAUAAGAUGAAAGAGUGAAAAGGCAACCUCAAGGAUGUCCCACACAAGACUUCUGCUAACAUAUCUUCACCCAGAUUUUAAUCAUUUGGCCAUGAAAACUGUAAGGCAGGCUGGGAAACUGUUCUUUUUUAGUCCUAUGGCUAUAUGCCCAGCUGGUAAGUGGAGAUCUCUUACUAAGAGCUGAAGAGAAAAUGAAUGUUCAAGGUAAAGGCUAUCCAUACUCUGUUACUGGUUAUUUUUGGUUUAAAUUCAUUUUCUUAAAAGAAUUAUUUGUGUCUUAUUAUUGUUGUUUAGUUUCUCUGGAUACUAGAUGUUUUUACUUUUUAUGUCCUUUUAUUUCAAAUUAUAAACCUUUUUCUUCUCACUAAAACUCGAUCUUACCUAAAUAGUAUCAAAUAUUAAUGUAUAGAAUAUUUUGGUUUUGCAUGCUUUUGGCUUUGCAUGUGUAAUUUUUACACUAUAAAUAUAAAAAAAAUAGAUUUUAAAAUGUUUUCAUGCAUACAAUAUAAUUAUGUGAACAAUGUAACCUGAUGUCUGAAAUAAUGAAAUCUUCAUGUGACCGCGUCACUUAGUCAAUAAUAGUACAAAGUAGCAAAAAGUAAACUUUUGUCACCUUGAGAAUUUAUAGCUUCCAAAAUAUUUUAACCAGUAAGAAAUUCUGUGAUUUCCUUUUACAUAUUCCUGCACUCAAAGACUUAUAUCUCUUAAUAGAACAUAAUUCUGAAGAAAUUGUUGCUAAAAUUCUAUUCUAAAGCCAUCAACAUUAUAUAAAACGUCAGUGAAAAAUUUCAUUGUUAAACUGAAUGUUGUAUAACAUGCUUCAACCCUCUUCCAGUUGACACUGGGAUUUUGCAGCUUUACAAACAUCAGGAAGACAAAGUAUAGCUUCUGUUCCAAGAACUAUACUGACUGUUAGAUGAAUGUGAGUCUUUCUGAAGGAGUGCCAACUCACAAAUGUUCUUAGUGAGAGAGAUAAAGCAACAUCAUGAUAGAUUCAGUUGCUGACUGUGUUGACUCAAGAAAGCAAUUACCCACUUGCCCAAACAGGAAAUUUUUGGAAGAAAAAAAAAGAAUACAUGGUGCAAUUUUAGUUAAUGCAUUUUAUUUAUGUUUCUGGGAUACAAGCUUUCUUGUGUGUUAUUAUUUAUUAAUUUAUUUAAGUAGAUACUAGUUUCUGUUGUAUAAGCAAUAGAUAUGGAAAGGGUCUUACUUGCUUGAAUCUCCUGCCAAAGUUGAUCAACAACAUCAUACAGACCAUUUCUUGUCCCUUGUUUCUCAAUAGAUUUCAAAUUGUUGAAUUGCAACAUAAUCCACAAAGUCUUAAAGGAUUGCAUCAGUGCCAAGGAUCAAAACAUAUAAAGGAUGCAGAUGACACAAAGCUGGGAGACAUUGCCAAUAAAAACAAAGGUAGAAUCCAGAAUGAAAAUGAUUUGGUAAUCUCUUCAUUCCUAUUGAAAUUCAACAGGAAUUUAAAGCCCAGACUGUAUGCUAAAAACAACAAAUACAUAGAGAAGAAAUACAUUGGCAACUCUUUCACUGGAGGGGACAUCUGUGUUUAUACUGAUUGAUGAUGUGAUAAGGUUACAAUGCAUUUAAUAUAGUUUUAAAGUGUUUCAAAAGAAAAAAGGGAAUCAGGUUUUACAUGAAGUAAUAGAUACAGAAAAUAUGCUGCUAUUCAAAACAUAUCUGAAUUGUUUUGUUAAAUUAUCUGUUAUAUUUUUGGGUGUAUAGUGUCAACGUCUGUCUCUGCAGAGGAAACUAGCCAGCAUUACAUGAGACUCUAAAUCUCAUGUCAUUUGUGGAAGAGUUAAAGAGUCUCUUUCACCAUUACAAAUUAUAUGACACAUGCACUAACUUUCUGAAAUAUGAAUAUGUGAAAAUUCCAUGGUAAUAAAAGUUAAUAAAAAUGAAAGAGUUUCUUUACUGUAGGACAACUCAAUUUUUGAUGAAGUGCUUAAUGACAUUUUAAGGUGUUGAUAUAAUGAAAUAUUUUCCCAUAUUAUUGAACCACGGAAUUCUGCUGAACUUUUUUCUUUUUAAACUCUGGUCAAAAAAGAAUACACUGUAAGAAGAAAUGAUUGUUAUAAAGGAAGUAACGAAUUUGUUCUAUGUCCUGUUUCAAAGGGAUAACCAGGCAAGUUUAGGUUCAGUAUAAGAAAAAUAAAAGAUAUCUUUACAAUGUAUUCGAGAAGAGUGAAUGACUACCUACAGGUAGGAUGUAAGAAGAAUCCACAUGCAGCUGAGAGUGGGUGAGAUGACCUUUGAAGUUAAUGUCCACACUUUCAAAGGAAUAAACUUUGCUCCAGAAAGCACUACCUACUGCCAUCUGUAAAAGAGACCUCUGGAGAUACCGUGAUCCUAGAUUUCGGAAGUCCUCAAGACCUGUGACUCCGUCUUCCAGAAUAUACAUUGAAAGAGGCCAAUUGUCCUUGCUUUCAUUAUGACCUCAUACUAUGUUGCUGAGACGGGAAUAACAGGAUGGUUGCAGGAGAUUAGAAAAUGUCAGGCAGCAGUUUCACAUGACUAGUAAAAUAGCUUUUUGAAAUAGCUGCAGAAACUUUAUGUUGAUAAAACCCUAAAAACUCAAUAUGAACCAAGCUGGACAAGACCAAGUGGACUCAAGAUGGCAUUGGAUUUGACCUAGACUUCACCUAGAACCUCAUUACACAAAUCACACAGCCACCAGUGCCCUGACGGUUCCAGGAACACCUAUAUUUGGUAUAAAAAUGAAUGGUACUAUGGUGCCACUUUUUUCCAAUUUUCUAAUUAUUUUCAUGGAUAUUCCACAUCUUGGUAAAAGAAACUCAUAAAAGUAGCAACCCCAAAACCUCUUGAGCAUGACUCUCUUGAGUAUGCCCACACUUCCUUUUCUUUUUCUUCCUUCCUUCCUUCCUUCUUUUUCUUUCUUUCUUUCUUCUUUUUCUUUUCUUUCUUUUUCUUUCUCUUUCUUUCUCUCUCUUUCUUGCUUUCAUUCUGUCUCUCUCUCUUUCUUCUUUCUUUCUUUUCUUCUUUUUUGAAAUGGGGAUUCACUCUUCUCGGCCAGGCUGGAAUGCAAUGCGUGAUCUCAACUCGCUGCAACAUCCACCUCCCGGGUUCAAGUGAUUCUCCUGCCUCAGUCUCCCGAGUUGCUGGAAUUACAGGUUUGAGCCCCCAACCCUGGUUAAUUUUGUAUUUUCAGUAGAGACAGGGUUUCAACAUGUUGGUCAGGCUUGUCUCAAACUCCUGACCUCAGGUGUUCCACCCAACUCAGCCUCCCAAACUGCUGGAAAUACAGGCAGAAGCAACCACAGCUGGCCUCUUUUCUUGAGUGUGUACUUUUCCCUUUGCCGUGUUUUUACUUUCACAAUUUACCAACUCAUCCUUAAGUUUAUUCUUAUGAAGGUGACAAGAGCCUGGACACUGCUUCCCACUGCACUCUAUUCUUUCUACACACGAUAGCUAGAGUAAAAUUUGAAAACUUUAAAACAGAUUACACUAUUGUCCUACACUAACCUCUUGCUAUACUGGCCUUCAUUCUGUUUCUGGAUCUUCUUAGGUUCUUAUUACUCUGCCUGGAGUAAAUCACCCCAGAAUGUUCUAAUAUCUUUACUGCAUUCAGAUCUAUGUUUAAACGUCACCUCUCCAAAGGCCUUUCUGUUCUACUCUAUAAAUAGUAACUUUGCCUUUUUGCAAACUUCCCUACAUUCCCCACUCCCAAACCCAGGUCAUUCUCUAUGAUUGCAUUUUGCUUUCUUUUAAAAACAUGUAUUUGCCAUGUUUUUGUUCUUUCUCCUACAAUGAAAUCAAAGCUCAAAAGGGCAGAGACCUUGUUGUCAUUUUAUUUAUAUAUCGUAGGACAGUACCUUGCAGAACAAAAUGCUAAAUAUUCCCUUUUUUUUUCAACAAAUAAGUAUAUAAAAGCAUGGAUCAUUUUCUAAAAUGUAAUUGGGAGUUAGUAAUAGAUUAUUUUUCCCUAACUAUAAAAUUACCAAAAUGACACCAUGUUACAGCCAAAUUAAAAUUGCUGUCAUUAAGCUAAAACAAAAAUAUGUGUUCUUCAAGUCAUUUUAAAGUAGCCUAUAUGGCACGUUAUUUUUUUUUAAUGUGAUUCAGAAUAUAAAAGAGGUAGUUAUUUACAACCCACAUUGCAAUAAGUUGCUAAGGUAACUACACUAUGGCUAAAGCAUUUCAUCACUUUAAUAAUUGUAUAGAUUUUCAGUAAGCAGCACACACAACAUAUUAAGUAAGAUGUAUCAUUGUGUAAAUUACUUUAGAAACUGAGCUGCAUAGCGCAUAUUUACAGGAGGUGCUUUUCAAGGACAUUACCUCAUAAGGAUGAAAAACUAAACAUGCCUAAAUAUUAAUAAAUAUGCCAUUCAUAAUACAAAGUUAUUUUAAAAUGCUUGUCUUCACAGUUUCAUAAAUUGAACAAUGUACAAAUUAAUAAUUUGAUCUAGGAUUUUGCCUAAUGCGCUAUGUCAAGGCUGAAAGCCGUCGAAGUGUCAUUGUGAAGAGUUCUUUAGAUUUUCUUACUAAAAACUAAAAAGCUUUCGUGCAUUAUUACCUAAGUGGUAGUUAUAAUUAUAAACCACACUAUAUACACGAGAAAACUGGAUAAAGAGACUUAGGUGAGUACUUUCCUUAGACAAUCUCACGACCUCAAAAUAGAGUCAGUAACAAAGUUUGGUGGUAUUAUUCCUAGAUCUGUGUUCUUAAUCAGUGUGAUAUUGUGUCUCUCUUUUAUUUACUUUCUUUACUAGAAACUCUGGAUACAAAUUAUUAUUUUCUUUAGAAUGUAAGUUGUUAGAGAUUCUGGAAAUUUCCUGGACAUGGAGUCAAUGUACCAGUCAAUAUGAUGAAGUAAGUCCACACUGCACUAUGAAUAGAGGAAGGGGAAAGGUCAGAGAAACUCUAGCAAAAGGCAUUUUAUGACAUUAGCAUCCUCUAGAAGUCCUGGUAUUUGCAUUGCCUGAGAUUAGGUUUCCUUUGCCUUUUGAGAAUUGACUUGACAGCUGUUAGGGUCCAACUGCUUAAGAUCCAUGCUCCAGUGACAUUAGUACUCAGUCUGUUGAAAAUAUAGAAAGUAUAUGUCCCUAACAGGCCUCACAUCAUCUCAUCUUAUGCAGAUGAGAAGUAAAUAGUGCUGCAUGUGUGCUCUGCCCAAGAAUUUCUAGAUCUGAGUUUGAGUUAAUAGAUUCCCAAGGAGACCAGGAACAAUCACCUGGGAAGCUCAAGUUAAGGACUUAGAUCAUCCAUCUUCCCUUCCAAUUUUUUUUCAAAGAAUUGAUUAAAACAACAACAGGAAGCAGCAGCAUUUAUCUUAAUUACAGUAACUAUUUGGACAAAUGUGACACUUAGGUAUCUACAUACUAAGGAUGAAAGUUCCUAAAGUGACUACUGGUUAAUCUUUUACUUAGUUCAUUUGAAUUGACAUUAGAUUUCUCAAUGAUAAUUCACUGCAUAUUUAAAAAUAUAAAAGGAAAGUAAGCACAGGCUUUUGAUUCCAAAUGAAAAACUUCUGGAGCUCACUUCUAGCAAGCAAUUUUGUAGAUGUUAAUGUUCCUCCAAUAUCUAAGGUAUCUAAAUAAUAUUAGCAAUUAUCUUUUGUCUAAAUAGCAUGUCACAAUUUUCCAACACAGUGAUAUCCAUUUUCUUACAGGAUUUUCAUAAUUCUUAAAGGUAGUAUUUUUAAUUGACAUUUUUACCCUGGAGAAAACAAACUCAAAGCCAAACUUGUAAGUGGAAAGGCUAAGACUGAUCAGAUUUUCUGACUGGCCUGCUUAUGUGUCUCUGGAAUUUCAUUGUAGUUCCAAAAAUUACUUAAGCAGUUUCUUUUUACCUAGAGACUUCAGCUGAUUUAAGGGACAACUAAGUAAUCAAUUGAUCUGUAUUUGCUAUAUAAGAUGCAUCAUAAAUAUAGCAGUCUAGUUGCAUUUAGUAAUGAACAAGUGGCAAUGGAUUAAGGAAAAAUGGAGUCUCACCUCAGUAACUAAACUAUGCAACUUUCAGCCAUUCAUGGCCUCGGUAUCCUUACAUGUAAAAUAAAAAGGGAAAACCAAAUGAUGUCCAAAGCCAUCAAUAACCUACUUUUAAAAUUAUGAUGUAAAUUAUAAUACUUGAUUAUUAGAAUAUUGCACAAUUUUUAUAUCUUAAUGUCUUUUCAGAGCAAUUAUACUAGAUAUUUUUCUGGAAGCUGGAGAUUUUUAUUUUCCCACAGAAACUCUCUCAUGUUCUCAAAAUUUCCAGGAUUAUAAUAACAGAAGUAAAUUGUUGCAUAAUUGUAUAGUAACAAGAAUUGUUGUCUGCUAUAGAGACUAUAAAUUCAUAGGUUUCUUUGUGAGAUAUUUUUACAUUUUGAAAACCUGAUAUGAGUCACUGUAUGUCUAGAUAUAAAUGAUUUGAUUUUGAUGAAAGCAGAGACAGUUCAAACAGGGAUAUUAACUUUUUGUUUUGGUUUUUCUUACUGACUGAGGAAUGCAAAGUUUUGGUGACUCAGGUUAGUCUGUAAAAUAAUAUAUUAGAGCCAAAUAUAAAGACAAAUAUAAGAGGCAUAUACCCUUCAUAUGUCUUAUGGCAGAGCACAAAUGCUCACUUGAGUUUUGGAAAUUUAAUCAAAACGAAUUGAACUACACAAUUCUGGAAUAUUCUAUCAAUUUAAGACUAAAAAAUAAAUUAUGAGUUCUAUUUCUAAUAUUUCUAAGUGAUGUCUAUAUAUUCACCCAUCCACCACCUACAUAUAGAACUUUCAUUGACAGUGUCAACAUUCUAUGUAAAAUUUUAGGAAGAGCAUACUUCGUUCUCAUGAGUACUUUUAAAGAAGACCUACUAAUUUUUUUCAAAUUGUACUUUAGGUUCUGGGUUAUAUGUGCAGAUCAUGCGGUAUUGUUGCAUAGGCACAUACAUGGCAAUGUGGUUUGCUGCCUCCAUUCCCCCAUCACCUAUAUCUGGCAUUUCUCCCAAUGUCAUCCCUCCCCAAUCUCCCCACCCCCUGCUGUCCCUCCCCUAGCAUCCCCCAACAGACCCCAGUGUGUAAUGUUCCUCUCCCUGUAUCCAUGUGUUCUCAGUUUUCGACAUCCAUCUAUGAGUCAGAACAAGCAGUGUCUGGUUUUCUGUUCUUGGGUCAGUUUGCUGAGAACGAUGGUUUCCAGAUUCAUCCAUGUCCCUACAAAGGACACAAACUCAUCAUUUUUUAUGGCUGCAUAGUAUUCCAUGGUGUAUAUGUGCUACAUUUUCCUUGUCCAGUCUAUCACUGAUGGGCAUUUGAGUUGGUUCCAGGUCUUUACUAUUGUAAACAGUGCCACAGUGAACAUACAUGUUCAUGUGUCUUUAUAAUAGAAAGAUUUCUAAUCCUUUGGGUAUACACCGAAUAAUGGGAUUGCUGGGUCAAUUGGAAUUUCAAUUUUUAGGUCCUUAAGGCAUUGCCACACUGUCUUCCACAAUGGUUGAACUAAUUUACACUCCUACCAAUAGUGUAAGUGUUCCUCUUUCUUGAUAUUCUCUCCUUCAUCUGUUGUCUCCAGAUUUUUUAAUGAUCGCCAUUCUAACUGGCUUGAGAUGGUAUCUCAAUGUGGUUUUGAUUUGCAUUUCUCUAAUGACCAGUGAUGAUGAGUAUUUUUUCAUAUGUUUUAAGGCCUACUAAUUUUAUGUAUUUUGUGACACUUUGGCAUAAUAUUGUUGAACAGGAAGGAUAAUGCCAAAUAUUAGCAAAAAAUUUUACUAAUUUCUUUGUAUCCCUAGAACCACAUGUUUAAGUAGCAUAAUGAAUAUAGAAAAUGAUUGUAUUAUAGUGGAAAGAACACUGGACAUGAAGAUAAAAAUCCUAAAUUUGAUGUCAUGUGUACAUUUCAUGAACUUCCUUUAUAGUCUUAUGUAAAGAAUAUUAUAUAUACCUCACGAGUCAGUUCUGUGUAUUAAAUAGAAAAAAAGUUAACCCUUAUACAAGACAAAGCUAUCGACAAAUACUGAGUAUUGUUCUUAAUACAGAUACAAGUAUAAAUAAGACAUAAGAACCUCCUAAAAAACUCCUCUUUACAUAAAAAAAAAUUCAAAUGCUAUUGAUCCUCCUCAUCUGUGUCUUUUUUCCAUAGGAAGGAUGGUUCUACAAGUAGAGGAAGAUAAGCAUCCUGAUAUUGUUUCAUAAGUCCCAAAGAUAGAAAAGUCUCCAUGGCUUGGUUUUCAUUACAGAAUUGUAUAUACAUAAAAUUUUUCUUCUUAAAGUAUUGAACACCAAUAUUGUGUUAAAUGAGAGAAUUCUGAUUCUCUCAAAUGGUCAAUUUGAUACAGAAUAUGUUUAGCACUAUGCCAGGAAAAAUCAACAAUAAUAUAAAACUAAUUUGUAGCAACUGCAGGUGUUCGUGGUGUUCUUACUAUAGCCAAUGCCAAGCCAACAGUUUGCCAUCAAUGAAAGUGUAGUUGGGAAGAAAAAAUUUGGGAGAAGAUGAUGAACAAUUAGUUAUCCAACCCAGUGCAACCUGGCUCCAGCAAACACCCAACUAGCAGGCCACUUAUAUUUAUUUUGGCAUCUAGUUAUUUUAACCAAAUACAAGAAGAAUCUUAGAGGUGCUUAUAUCUUGCUUUUAUUUAUAUAAGCUCCUAUUAUAUUUAAACCAGAAAUGUCACCUAUUUUGUCACAUAUUUUACGGGGAAACUGAAACAUUUAACACUACCAAGUUAAAAUAGUUUUGAAUUUAAAAUAUACUUCUCUUUCCUGUUUUCUCUGUUCCCAGAGAAAUAACAAGAAAUUAUUUGACUGUAAUUCUAGUUUCAGGAUUGCUCAGAAAAGAAGGCAGCAAAUGAUAGAAGACUGUCUCAGUUUUCACUGUAGAUUCUUUAUUGAGGAAAGUUAAUUCUCAAUGGGUUAUGUCAGCAACUGCAUGAAAUACAUAGAGCGAGACACAAAAACAACAUGAGGCAGUAUACAUCUCACUCUGUUGCCCAGGCUGGAAUGCAAUGGCACAAUCUCAACUCACUGCAACCACUGGCCCCAGGCUCAAUUGAUCCUCUGAGGCAAUAUAUCAUGUUACUUCCCAAAGCCUAUAAAUAUGAUCCAUAUUAAUGUCACUGUUAUCAGUGAGGUCUAACAUCUUUCUUUAUAAGACAAAUGUUGUAUCCCCUGAUAGUGAUGUUAAAAUAAAUAAUGAAAUCAACAUAUUAACAAUUAUAUUUGGUGUAUAAGACACUCAAACAACAACAGAAUUAAGGUUUAAAGAACAUUUUGAAAAAAUAUCUUAGCUAGCACUUGCAGUUCUGAUCAAGGAAUCUCAAUUUCAUACGAAAAUUCCUAUUAGUUUAGCUAGAGCUUCGUGACAUGUGGUGUGCAGACCAAAACACUGGACUAGGAAAAAAUAAAUUCUGUUUCUAAGGCUGGUUCUAAUGCUGCCACCAAUAGUCUAUGUGAUUAGAUCAUGACUAGUCUCUUUGUGCCUUUCUCCUAUUGUAAAAUGGCAGAGAGGGAGUUUGACACAUUCAAGUAGUCUUUCCAACGCAAUGCUUCCUAAAUUUAUGAAUCAUGAUGUUUACUGACAAAUGUCCUUCUUUGCAGCUGAAAUUAAAAUUUUUGGAUUUGUAAA